rnacentral:rRNA from 1 species
AACGUAGGACGCAAGCGUUAUCCGGAGUUACUGGGCGUAAAGCGCGGGCAGGCGGCUCGAAACGUCUGAUGUGAAAUCUCCUCGAUCAACGGGGAGAGGCCAUUGGAAACGGUCGAGCUGGAGGGCAGUAGAGGUAGGCGGAAUUCCGGGUGGAGUGGUGAAAUGCGUAGAGAUCCGGAGGAACACCAGAGGCGAAGGCGGCCUACUGGGCUGCACCUGACGCUGAGCCGCGAAAGCCAGGGGAGCGAACGGG